UACGAAGGGGGCUAGCGUUGCUCGGAAUCACUGGGCGUAAAGGGUGCGUAGGCGGGUUUCUAAGUCAGAGGUGAAAUCCUGGAGCUCAACUCCAGAACUGCCUUUGAUACUGGAAGUCUUGAGUAUGGGAGAGGUGAGUGGAACUGCGAGUGUAGAGGUGAAAUUCGUAGAUAUUCGCAAGAACACCAGUGGCGAAGGCGGUGCUCUGGGCCGGAACUGACGCUGAGGAGCGAAAGCGUGGGGAGCAAACAGG
rnacentral:rRNA from 1 species